GCCCCUAUCGUCUAGCGGUUAAGACACUCUCACUCAGUGAGGGAAACCUGGGUUCAAAUCCCAGUAGGGGUA
rnacentral:tRNA from 1 species